UACGUAGGUGGCAAGCGUUGUCCGGAAUUAUUGGGCGUAAAGCGCGCGCAGGCGGUCCUUUAAGUCUGAUGUGAAAGCCCACGGCUCAACCGUGGAGGGUCAUUGGAAACUGGGGGACUUGAGUGCAGAAGAGGAAAGUGGAAUUCCACGCGUAGCGGUGAAAUGCGUAGAGAUGUGGAGGAACACCAGUGGCGAAGGCGACUUUCUGGUCUGUAACUGACGCUGAGGCGCGAAAGCGUGGGGAGCAAACAGG
rnacentral:rRNA from 1 species